GCUUCCGUCGUUCAACGGACAGGAUAUCUCCCUCCGAAGGAGAUGAUACUGGUUCGACUCCAGUCGGAAGCA
rnacentral:tRNA from 1 species